GGAAAACCGACUCCAACCUACAUUGGCCCAGGCUAGCUCCUGCAAUCUGACUAUAAGUUUAAAAAACAGUUCUAAGUAAAAAUUCAAAGAAGAAAUGAUCAGCCAAACUCACGAAGACUGGAUUCAGUUGAGACUUUAUUCUGCUUCAUGAGAUCUUUGUCGACACGACCUACUUUCUCCAUGGCUUCAAUCUCAGCUUGGGUCGCUCAACUGUUGGAUGAAACCAACCUUUCUACACCAUCACCAACUGCUGGUCUUCUCACUGAGGUCAUCACUCAUUAUAUCCAGGAUAUGGAGAGUCGUGGUCGACCCAGUGACACAUCUGCACAUCUGUUAAGGGAGUUGAUGUCUCAACACAGACUGCUAUAGUUGUUACCAAGUUCUACUCAGACUUUUUCAGCCUCAUCCACACGCACCCAGGCUACUCAAGCUCCAUGGCGUGUUAAUAAAAGGACUCAAUAUCC